rnacentral:rRNA from 1 species
UACGAAGGGGGCUAGCGUUGCUCGGAAUUACUGGGCGUAAAGCGUGCGCAGGCGGUUUUGUAAGUCUGUCGUGAAAGCCCCGGGCUCAACCUGGGAAUUGCGAUGGAGACUGCAAGGCUUGAAUCUGGCAGAGGGGGGUAGAAUUCCACGUGUAGCAGUGAAAUGCGUAGAGAUGUGGAGGAACACCGAUGGCGAAGGCAGCCCCUGGGUCAAGAUUGACGCUCAUGCACGAAAGCGUGGGGAGCAAACAGG